rnacentral:rRNA from 1 species
UACGAAGGGUGCAAGCGUUACUCGGAAUUACUGGGCGUAAAGCGUGCGUAGGUGGUUUGUUAAGUCUGAUGUGAAAGCCCUGGGCUCAACCUGGGAAUUGCAUUGGAUACUGGCAGGCUAGAGUGCGGUAGAGGAUGGCGGAAUUCCCGGUGUAGCAGUGAAAUGCGUAGAGAUGUGGAGGAAUACCGAUGGCGAAGGCAGCCCCCUGGGCCAAUACUGACGCUCAUGCACGAAAGCGUGGGGAGCAAACAGG